rnacentral:tRNA from 1 species
GGGCUUGUAGCGAAGUGGAUAUCGCGUCUCCCUCCGAAGGAGAAGGUCCCCAGUUCGAUCCUGGGCUAGCUCA